rnacentral:lncRNA from 1 species
UAGCUACUGGGCUUUUUACAGAUUUGUCUUACAUUUGCUUGCCCUCAGAUUAUUGUUUUAAUUGGCAGUGACUAGGUAGGGCAAGUUUAAGAAUUGUAAUGAAUAAAAAACACUUGAGUUUCUUCCCUUCCUUCUUUGUGUGAUUUUGGGAAACCAAGAGUAGUAGUGGGCUGGUCAGCACCAGGCCUCUCACACACAAGUUUAGGCUGCAACACCAGCAGUUCCUCUUCCCAGGAACAGAUUCAGUGGAAGCUGCAGAGACUGUACUUCCCAAGACUGAGUACUGGGUACUCUCAAAUGGCUGAAGCAUUGGAUUUGAACUCACCCCAGGCAGAAGAUUUACCAGCUAGGAACCCAGCACUACAAUGAGUUCCACAGUAACCAGAAAUAUUAUUAUAUCUCUCCAGGUCUGUCAGUGAGGUAUGAUUAGGGCCUGUCUGCAGACCUAGAUAUGCAAAACAUACUAAAAAAGUACAAUUAUUG